rnacentral:rRNA from 1 species
UACGUAGGGUGCAAGCGUUGUCCGGAAUUAUUGGGCGUAAAGAGCUCGUAGGCGGUUUGUUGCGUCGGCUGUGAAAUCCCGGAGGCUCAACCUCGGGUCUGCAGUCGAUACGAGCAAACUAGAGUGUUGCAGGGGAGACUGGAAUUCCUGGUGUAGCGGUGAAAUGCGCAGAUAUCAGGAGGAACACCGGUGGCGAAGGCGGGUCUCUGGGCAACAACUGACGCUGGAGGAGCGAAA